CAUCACCCGGGUGGGGUCCAGGAAGCCUGUCCUGAGACCUGCCCAGUGCACUGAGGGUGAACCUGGAGCCCACUCCACCUGAUGCCCCCACACAGCCCUCGAAGGGUCUGACCUGCCAGCAUGCACCUGCCUCUCCCUGCACCCCAGCUGUCCACCCUGCCUGUUCCCUGACUUCCUCCGUCCUCUCCAGCAGGAUGCCAUGGGCAGAGGGACAGCCUAUGUGCACAUUUCGUGGCAAGUAGGCGUGACACAUCAUCCCUGGAAGGGGCCAUGUUUCCUGCCAAAGUCAACCCCAGAACUCUGUCCCUGAGGUGUUUUUACCAAACCCAAAACCCACAACUGCGGUUGUGGCUCAAGGGUCAGCACCCGCUAGUGCCAGGACACUACUGGGAGGCUGAGACCUGACCAUACCCCAUGGUGUCUGUGGCCUGAGGACAGAGUGUCUUGGGGCCAUAAGGACAAGCCACCAAUGGCCAUUGGGUCAUAGGGCCUGAGUCCCAGUGUUUGCCUUUCCCUGGCUCCUUCUGGUUCAGUCCCCUCAGGGCCAUGGAGCCCAAAACCCAAAGAUUCCCUCCAGGAAUCCUGGUGGCUCGGCUUACUUUAUCGUGUUUCAUCUGAGAGCAAAAAUGUCAGAUCAGAUGCACAGAAAAAUGGCUCGAAGUGUUUAGUGACUAGAGGAAAUCUAGGAGCAGCAAGAAGGUAAAGUGAAGAGGGGAGGACCUCCAUGACCAGUGUCUGCAGAGCCAGGGAUAUAGGCACCAAGUGCUGUGGCCUGGUACCACCUGCCUUUCUAGGGUGGAUGGCACACUGUCCUUUGCUGGAGGACAGAAGGCCUGGUCACCAACUUUUCUACCUGGCCCUGUAAGCAUCACAUUGCUGGAAGAGAAUCUCAUGCCAGAGUUUGGACCAUGGCUUGCUCAGGGGUUAGGGGUUGUCUCUUGGUGACCUAAAUGAAAAACUAGUUCCAGAUCAGAGUUCUUGAUGCUGAGCAAUCAUCCACUCUUUGAAUCAUGGGAGGGCAGGCCUGGUACUAGGUAGACCUAACCUCUUUGAGGAACCACAGACCCCAAGGCUGGAAACCUCCAGAAUCCUCCAGCCCCUGAUCCUCCCCGGGGACCCCUGUGGCCUGUCUCACUGAGCAGUCUUCCAUCUGUAGAUGUCUCGGCUGCCCUACAAGGGAGUCCCCUUUCAGGAGUGGGAACAGGUAUGGUCACUGCUGCUGGAUGUCUAGAAAGUAGAAACCAAGAACCUAGGGAAAUACCAGGCACAGACUUUCCAUUGUCAUCCAGAGCAGGACAAACAGGUCAGGUGGUCAGGAGCCCAGGUCUCCAGCUGGAGGGAACGUCAACCCUACAGUGGGCGCAGGGGCCCAUCGCACAUCCUAGAAACAGAUGGUAACAUAGGCAUCACAGUUAAGCUGGGCUUGGUACACCUCCCCGGCUUCCGAAAGAAGCCAAACAAGGAGCUUUCUGCAGAAUGAAACCUCUUUUCCAUCCGGAAGCACUGCUGACUGGUGGUUGCUGUUGUGGCAGUGAGCUUUUUGUCCAUUCUGAAUGUUGGACUGGUUUCUCCUCUUGGCCCUGCCCUACAGACCAUAAAGGAGAACAGCAAGAGACCCCCAGCAAACAUCCGCAGAUGGCCCUGGACAUCAGCCACAUUCUGAGAAACAUGUCAUGUUCUGGGAGGGCUAAGGCAUCAAGUAAGGUCUAUGGGGCUAGAGGAUCCCAGGGCAGGUAGAGCAAUCCAGGGCCGUGGGAGCUUCCGUGGGAAUCAGGAGGUCCCAUGGUAGAGGCAGGGGCUCUACAGGAGGAGUCACACAGCUGCCAAGGGCUCUCCUGGCCCAGGGAGCAGUCAACACCAUGGACUGAACACCCGCUGGGCUCCAAGCCCUGGGCCAGGCUGUGGCAUAUGGGGCUAGGAGGCAGCUCAGAGUGGGUAGUAGGGAGAGAAGUGUGCCCAGAGGGCACCCAUUUCUGGAUGUAAUGUGGUCCUGAGAUUCUGGCUGGGAAGUCUUUCCAGGGUUUCAUAUGUGUUAUGGAACUGCUUCCUCUCCCCAGCCUCACCCUGCAGGAAUCCCGGAAAGUAUAUUGCCACCAUCUUGGAGCUGCAUAGUGUAACGGCACCAGCAGAUCUGCCUGUGCACAGACUUCCUGUAUUACCCAGUCCUGAGGAGAGAUGCUUCUUCAGGGCCUGUGACCUGGAGCACAACUUUACACACCAUCAUCCUGGAGCAGCACUGCACCCUCACUAGCCAGGCUGUUGAUGACUUCCUCAAGGCCAAGGCCACAUUCAAGAUUUUUGACUUCAGUGAUUCAUUUGUGCUGAGCAAGUUGGACUUCUAGGGGUUCUUAAUUCAGGAGGUGGAAUGCAGCUUGAGAUCAAGUGUCUGAUCAAAGAAUUUGAACUUAAUCUGGAGGGCUCUGGGGAGCCAUGGAAAGUGCCGGCUAAAUGAGGGAGAGUCAGAUAUGUUUUAGAGAUGAUUGUGGAAGGCUGCCUGGAAGGGAUGAACAAGAGCCAGGAGACCAGGGAGGGAGCUUGUGGGGAGGUCUGGAGAUGGCAAGGGAGGGAUCCUGCUUGGAUAAAAGGUCUUCAGGGACUGUCUCAGGUGCUCUCAGAGCUAGUGUGUUCAGAAGUCUUGUCUCCAGGAUGAAAAUGGGAAGGAGUUGUCAGACAAGGAAAUAUAAAAGGAGGCUGGCAUGUUUAUGAGCACCAAUCGUGGUCCCGGUGUGGACUACUGUGGGAACAGGAAUCUCUCCAUCCAGGGACAUGGUGGAUGGACCCUACAUCUCUCCAUGCUGCAUUUCCUUUCCCUCCCAUUCUCCUGAGGGCCUCAGUGCAUGGGCACUGUCCAACCUCUGGUGCUGAAGCAGCCAAGAAGCCCAAGACUGGGUGGCUGCCACUUAGGAUAUGACAGCACAGCCAGUGGCCUCCACUGCAUCCUGUACAACCUCAGAAGACACCCAGACACUGAGAGUGCUGCCACCACGUGGUGGUGCAAGAGUUCUGAGGGAUCGCAAUCCUGAAGACAAUGAAUGGAGGGUGCAGGGCCUCAUGGCCUGUUCCCCAGCCCCCCUCAUUGGCUCUGCUCCAGUUGGUGAAGGGGCAUAACGUUUCUGCCAGUUCUGCCAUGAUUGCCUAGCAGGAAAAGGAGCAGAGUCCAGAAGCAGAGCCCGGUACCCAGCCUGCCUAACAAGGGAGAAUUUGUAGGCUUUGUGGACAGAGAGAGCUGGGAGUCCAUACCUUCACCCACUAACUUGCUGAGACAUUGUCGUUAGAUGGAAAAACUGGGGCAAAGAGCAAUACAGAGAGUUAUGAAAAUGCAUUCCACUGGUCCAGGUUUGAACCAAGCAGUCUGCACCUGGAGUCCUGGUUUGUAACUACGGCACCCUGGUUCCUCACACAUCUCCUCAUGGAGGUUCACCUUGUGUCAGGCAUGGCACUGAGCAGCUUCUCUUAAGAACAUAAUUUGUAAUUAUGUAGAUUACUAGUUCUGCUUCAAAAUGCCACACAGCCUUGGUGUGAUGAAAUGAAACAAUUGGUAAGUCUGAGCGUUGAGAACAAGCAUUCUGUUUUCCACUCCUGACUCCAUUCCAACAGCUGGGACAGUGUUUCCUCUGUGCCUGUAGAAACCUCAGCUCCUGUGCCGAGGAGCUUGGUCCCUCUGGGGAAUGUGGCAGUCAGGUGCUGGCAAGGACCUUGAAGCCACUGAAGGGUCAUUAAGAAAAAGCUGUUUACAAAGGUUUGGGCAGGGCCAAGGGAACAAGGUGGUAUGGCACAGGGUCCUGGGGUUAGCAUAUUCUGGGUGCUGUCACCACUCUCCAUUUUGGUGGGGCCACGGAGAAGCUGUUCCAGGAACUCGGAGAAUCUACAGCUGAGAGAGGAGGCCGGAGGAGGUAUCACUCCUUGUGACCUUCAACUGUGUCCGGAUACCGCCACGACCACACUACAAUCUCCUUAUUAGACUGGAGAGGCUGCAGGGAGGGGUUCUAAGCCUCGUCUUGUGGCUCACCUCCAACAGUGAGUCAGCACCGGCUCCCGUAACCCCACAGCCCAGGAUUCACUUAGCCCCUCUAUCCUGCAUGGUCCCCUUUCCUGCUGGGAA